GCACUAAUGAAGAGUCCCAUACUAGGACGAGACGGUCGUCCAGUGC
rnacentral:hammerhead_ribozyme from 1 species